rnacentral:rRNA from 1 species
AGUGGGGAAUUUUGGACAAUGGGGGCAACCCUGAUCCAGCCAUUCCGCGUGAGUGAAGAAGGCCUUCGGGUUGUAAAGCUCUUUUGUCGGGGACGAAACGGUUUCACCUAAUACGUGAGACUACUGACGGUACCCGAAGAAUAAGCACCGGCUAACUACGUGCCAGCAGCCGCGGUAAUACGUAGGGUGCGAGCGUUAAUCGGAAUUACUGGGCGUAAAGCGUGCGCAGGCGGUUUUGUAAGCCAGAUGUGAAAUCCCCGGGCUCAACCUGGGAAUGGCAUUUGGGACUGCAAGGCUGGAGUAUGGCAGAGGGGACUAGAAUUCCUGGUGUAGCAGUGAAAUGCGUAGAUAUCAGGAGGAAUACCGAUGGCGAAGGCAGGUCCCUGGGCCAAUACUGACGCUCAUGCACGAAAGCGUGGGGAGCAAACAGGAUUAGAUACCCUGGUAGUCCACGCCCUAAACGAUGUCAACUGGUUGUUGGGGGAUUUAUUCUCUUAGUAACGAAGCUAACGCGUGAAGUUGACCGCCUGGGGAGUACGGUCGCAAGAUUAAAACU